CAGAAAUCAGUUUCCCAAUUACAUUUGGUCAUGCAGCAGAAAUUACAGAUGUGGCCAUUACAACAGUGUGCAGUUUGAAUGGUACUGAAUAUCAGUGCACGUGUGAGGAUCAGUACUUAUGGCCAUGUGAAAAGUGCACAGUAUAUGGGUCUUGUAAUAAUGUCACCAAUUCCUCGUGUGACUGCAUCAACGCUCUUCCAAAUGAUGGACACUUCUGCCAACCAAUCAAUGAGCUGAUGACUAACUCUACAUGUCCAACUGAACCACCCCCAGGUAAA